AUGCGAUAACAGUGCUAAUGUUCCUCCACCUCCAGUCAUGAUGAACUCCGUGGAGGGGAAUGGUGACAGAGGUCAACGAGGGGUCACUGAGACAUCAAAGGUGACGACUACUGAUGUCAAGGAAGAAGUGACAGAUGAGCGCCCAAAAGGAAUUGAUCCUCCACGCUUGAACAUGUGUUAACUGUACAUUUAUGUUAAUUCAAUCUACACUGGUUUAAUAUUUUGAUAUUUGUUUUUGCCCUUCACUGAUUUUAUUUUUUAUGAGUAUACUAGUUACUUUGUGCUAUUUAUGAGUUUGUAAGAAAAAGAUCACAAGCUUGCUUGGGUGAGACUCAAAGCCAACCUCCUGCUUACUGGAGCAGACAUCUUACCCACUCAACCACUGGGCUGGCUGAUGAUUUCAGAAAAUUUAGAUUGUCAAUAGAGUCAUCUGCAAAUUUA